CGGCGCCUUCCCGGGGCUGUGAUUGCGCAGGGGGCUUGCGGAGCGGGAAAGGCGCGCCUCGCGUCUGGCGUGGCGGGGCCAAUAGCCCUGUCCCCUGGUGUUUGGUGUCCCGCCAUCGCAGCCCUUCAGAAGCUGUGCGUGGGCGGCGGGCGUGGGAGAGACAUCCCGGGCCAGAACCUGUGGUCGCUGCGGAGCCACACAGAGACCCGCAGAGGCCCUGCCUGGCAUCCUGAGGGUGUCUGUCCUCCUGGUGAGCUUCACCAGCUUCCAGCUGCAGAAAUGGCCCAAAGCAGACAGCAAGCAGCCUGCUCCUGCGAUGGGGCUUGCAGCUUGCAGCAUCAGAAGACUCCCUAACCUCUAUCAAUAACAACGGCAACAGCAACAGCAACAGCGGCAGCAGCAGCAUUCUUGGGAACUAACAUGCAGCAGUGGGAGAUGCCUGGGAUUCUCUCAGCUGCACACCUGACAAGGUUUUGAUUCCUGACUGUUCCAGUGCUGUUGUUUCUACAGUUUGGUACCUUCAUUUGACUGUCCUCCCAGAGAAUGUGAAAAUACGCAUUUAGUUGUUUCUUUCUAAUUGUGGGAGUGAAAGAGUUGGCCCCUCCAGGGCCUCAGUGUGCCAUUAGCCUCCUGUGGAUCUGUCGCCUGCCCCUGGUGUGGCAUGGUGGGGCACAGCAGUGUCAUCUGUCUGGUUGUAGAACUGUUAACGUGUGACAUCAUAGGUCUUACUUUUUUACGUGUAAGGACGCGUAAUGUCAAGUCCAGUCUUGCUGCUGUCCUGUGAGCAGUUGCUGCUAAUCGUGAAGCUGGCAGCAGAAUGCAUAUUGGAAGUUCCCACCCCGUGCAGUUUUCCAACGUGGAGGGUUCUUCUGGUCCAGACAAGUGGGAGGGAGAGCACUGUGGGGGGCAGGAAUCCCCCAGGCCUUGAGGCUGAGAGGGAUGGGGGCAGGGGA